UGUCUCUUGAUUACUUUCGUGAGU
rnacentral:miRNA from 1 species